UUUCAUUCCUUUUAAACCGAGUUUUCCUUCAAUUCUAUUGGUAAUUUUUUCCAGUUUUCUUUCGGUUUCCUAAAAAAGAACCCUUAGUUUUGUACAUAGUAUUCCCCUCCUUUUACUUUAAAUCAUUUUUCUAGUUUGUAUUUCUUUGCCUUCAAGAACACCAUUGUUUUCACUUGUCUUUAAAAAACCUCCAAGUGUCUUCCUCCCUCUCUUAAAGCUUUUAUUCUCUUCCACGACUCAUCCCAACUCUGACUUAAUUUGUUACAUAUUUCCUCCUAGAGGUCCUACCUCCCAUUUAACCCCUGCAAAAUUGAGCUUUUAAAAUUGUUUCUCCUUUCAUUGUCCUCACUGUGCAUAGUCUGUUACAGCUAGCGUCUGCCUCCUGGGCUCAAAUUGUGAAGAUCAUUCUCUACACCUAUUUUUUGGCUGUCCUCUUACAACUCUUCCCUUUCACAUUUAAAUUAUUUUUCCUUUUGGCUUUCUCAGAGAUGAGGUUGGUUGUCCAGAAACUUACUAUGUUAUGGAAGUGUUAUAUCGCAAACUAUUUUUUUCUGUUUCUGCUUUGUCUCUUCACGCUGCUUGCUCUGCUUAGAAUGCCUUCUGUGCUCCUGUGCCUUUUUUCAAACACACAAAUUCCAAUACGUUUAGUGAUUGUUUUCCUCAAACUCUCUCCAUCUGUCUCCACUCCUCCACUUUUCACUUUUGUUAUACUGGGAACUCUUAAACAAACAUUCACUUAUAAAACAAACUAAAUUUAUGCUACUAAACCAUUUGUCAUUGUAUUGUUACCAAAUGAUAAGUAAUUCCUAACUUUGCUCCAUCCAGCUCAAGGACUGAGGAUAAAAAAUAAUUUAAUGUUCUUUGGUUUUAAGUAAACUGUUGGGGAGUCUGUGAGAACAGGGAGUGUUAACACUCCAGAAUAAAUUGUUUUGCCUCUCUAAAAUGGUGAUUGCCCCCUUCAUACUAGGUGUGAUUAAAAGUGCUAGAAAAGUGCCACCUAGUACAAGUAAAACAAACAUAUCUCCAAUUUUUCUAAAUCCCAAUAUAACUGAAUGCAGAACUUGAACUUUCAGGUCAGCAAUACAACACUAACGUCAGCUAAGUUCCAGCACCUACAAUGAAGAUGGGCAGGGUGCAGGAAUGCUGGUGAAGCAAAAACAAGAAGACGUCCUUUUUUUGCCUCUGUGCAGGCCUGAGGGAACAAGAAGGAUGCUAACCACAGGUCGUCUCGAGUUCACUACACCUUGCAUUAAAGAGGAACGCAGAGCUGGCUGGGGCUGUUCCUCCUCGCACAGCCUCAGACCUCCCGGUGGCAGCAGCAGUUUCCUGGGGUUUUUGGCUGUCCCACAUCUGGAAGUGAGUGGUGCAACACCCAGGAACACAAGUAAGUCAUUUCUUUUUUUACACUGGUGUUUUGCAAUUGGUCCAGUUGAUAACUCCUGCUAGUGGAAGGAGACGAGAAAAUUCAGGCCAGCAAAUCAUACAAGUGGACACUUAUGACCCUAAAAUGGAAGCUUUUGCUAACUCUGUAGGGAAAAGUGAUAUGAGGCAUAUUUCCAGAAAAGCACUGGGGCUGCAGUAUAUACUGUUUGAAGAGACUUGCUAUUAUUUUUUGUAUUUUGGAGAACUAAUACUUUGGAUGUAAGUAACUACUCUCAGAUUGUCACAAAAAUUGUCACAAAAUCUCUUAGCCUAUACUUAAUUUAGGGAUCUCAAUUUUAUAGCUAGAUUUUCUACUUUUACCUAAAGGUUGCCCCUUCAUCAACGAAUACACACUAGCUGGAAAUUACUUUUGUAUUCAAAAGAUAAAGCAAAUUUUCUUGAAUAUUUAUGAAAAAAGGUACCUAAACUUUUAGAAAUAUUAGAAAAAAUUAGAAAGAGAGAAGCCUAAUCUACUAAAACGUGGCAUUUUUCAAGAGGUUGUUCUCCACCCUCUAUAUGGACACCUAAAACAAAAGCAAUGCAACGUUUACUAAACAGUCUUUGUACAUCUAUCCUGUUGAUGUUAGGUGUCUGCUCUUGUUAGUACAACAAACCUCACCUAAGUGCAAAGGGGAUAACCAACUGCAAACUGUUAAGGGAAAACCUCUCCUGCUGAAAGAGCACCACAUCAUUAUCUUCUGCAUGAUUUAAGUUUGUAUGAUGAGGUUGUCAUAUGUUGGUGUCCUGUAAAAUAAAAUAUAUGGGACUUAACUCCUAUACAAACUCAUUUAGUUAGACAUAUCAGUUAAUGGAGAAAAUAAACCUGCAUGUAAAACGAUGCAUUUUAUUGAAUCAACCAUGUUUUCCAAAGGCAGCUUGCCCUUUCUUGGUAAAUUUGUUUCAAAUUGCAUACUGAACUCAUUUGAGAAUUAAGUUAUUCUUGCUAACCUCAGUAUGGCUAUAAUUAAGAGUAACAGUUCCUUACUUUCAAUUUCCCAACUACUCGCCUGUCAAAUUUAUCUAACAAACAGUUGUUUGCUACAGAAUUGCAAACGGCCAUAAAUUAUUGAAGUGGAAGAUUUACAUAAUACUGUUUGUUUCUAACGAAUUAAAUUCCACACUGAGGUCAAGUAAGGCAGUACAGUGCAUGCAGACUUAACAGUGGUAAGCAUCGUACCAACCAGGAUAACAUGGCAUUUUUAAUAAUCUUUCCCUAAAACUGUCUACAGAGUUAGAAACAAAUUCUGUCUGCAGUUAAACCAAUCUCAAAAAGGUAUUUGAAGAGGCCGCAAACUAUAUUCUCCAUAUUUCUUGAAAGAUCUAAUUUAUCAUCUGUUUUAUAAUCCCUUUCAGUUCACCUCUGAUGAGUAUCCCAUUUCCUAGAGAGACAAUUUGCCACUUAAUACACUGAAUGUUAAAGAACUACAAAUGCUUUCUACUGAUUUGUGUAGCUUACCUACCGCCGAUGGUAGUAUUUUACUGCAGUUGAAUCAUAAUUGACCUCUCAAGUUAAGUUGUAGGUAAGUGCAAAUGAGAUCAAUUUCCCCAAGUAAAUCAGUUUUAUAUACAUGGUCUGACUUAGAGGCCACCUCAUUCACUAAAAAUCCAUAAAUAAUGCUUAAAUUAUAUACCAUAUUAUAGAAGUGGGUCUUUAUUCUUCCCACAAAUAAAUUAUAAAAAAAAAAAAGUUAACAACGUAUAAAAAGUAAUGCCCUAACAAAACUAUAGUGCUGUUAUCAUUCCAUAUUGUCUUUGGAUUGCUGCAGUAAAAUACGUAUUUCUUCAAAAUACUGCUUCUUCCAACAUUGUCUUGCACUAUCUUCAUUAGAGACAGGAACGCCUUUACACUCUAACUGCAGUUCUGUUUCAGCAGCCAUAUCG